ensembl:rRNA n-R5s153 nuclear encoded rRNA 5S 153
GUCUAUGGCGGUAACUACCCUCAACACACCCCAUCUCGUGACUUCAGAAGCUAAGCAGGGUCAGGCCUGGAGUACCUUAAUUGAAGACUACCUGGGAAUACUGGGUGUAGUAGGCU